UGGGGAAUUUUGGACAAUGGGCGCAAGCCUGAUCCAGCCAUGCCGCGUGCGGGAAGAAGGCCUUCGGGUUGUAAACCGCUUUUGUCAGGGAAGAAAUCCUUUGAGCUAAUACCUCGGGGGGAUGACGGUACCUGAAGAAUAAGCACCGGCUAACUACGUGCCAGCAGCCGCGGUAAUACGUAGGGUGCGAGCGUUAAUCGGAAUUACUGGGCGUAAAGCGUGCGUAGGUGGUUUGUUAAGUCUGAUGUGAAAGCCCUGGGCUCAACCUGGGAAUUGCAUUGGAUACUGGCAGGCUAGAGUGCGGUAGAGGAUGGCGGAAUUCCAGGUGUAGCGGUGAAAUGCGUAGAGAUCUGGAGGAACACCGAUGGCGAAGGCAAUCCCCUGGACCUGUACUGACGCUCAUGCACGAAAGCGUGGGGAGCAAACA
rnacentral:rRNA from 1 species